GACGAACGCUGGCGGCGUGCUUAACACAUGCAAGUCGAACGGAAAGGCCCUGCUUUUGUGGGGUGCUCGAGUGGCGAACGGGUGAGUAACACGUGAGUAACCUGCCCUUGACUUUGGGAUAACUUCAGGAAACUGGGGCUAAUACCGGAUAGGAGCUCCUGCUGCAUGGUGGGGGUUGGAGAGUUUCGGCGGUUGGGGAUGGACUCGCGGCUUAUCAGCUUGUUGGGGGGGUAGUGGAUUACCAAGGCUUUGACGGGUAGCCGGCCUGAGAGGGUGACCGGCCACAUUGGGACUGAGAUACGGCCCAGACUCCUACGGGAGGCAGCAGUGGGGAAUAUUGCACAAUGGGCGGAAGCCUGAUGCAGCAACGCCGCGUGCGGGAUGACGGCCUUCGGGUUGUAAACCGCUUUCGCCUGUGACGAAGCGUGAGUGACGGUAAUGGGUAAAGAAGCACCGGCUAACUACGUG
rnacentral:rRNA from 1 species